AAAAAAGCGUAUGAGAGUGGGACAGAAAUAAUAUUUUCUCAAAAUUUAUUUCGUUGUAUCCCCAGCUUGCUUAGCCUGUAGAAUUUCUUUAGGAAAUCCUCUUUGCUGGGCCCCGAACCCCAGCUUGCUUAGCUUGUAGAAUUUCUUUAGGAAAUUCUCUUUGCUGGGGCCCGGCCUACCAGGCAAGGAUGACUAGGUUUGAAAAAAGCUUGAUUCAAGUACAUUUUCAAAUCAGUCAAUUACUAACAAAAUGAUAAAAUAGGCUGAGACAUUUUAUUUU
rnacentral:ncRNA from 21 species